GAUGAAGAACGCAGCGAAAUGCGAUAAGUAGUGUGAAUUGCAGAAUUCAGUGAAUCAUCGAAUCUUUGAACGCACAUUGCGCCCCUUGGUAUCCCGAGGGGCAUGCCUGUUCGAGCGUCAUUUCACCACUCAAGCCUGGCUUGGUGUUGGGCGACGUCCUCUUUGGGGACGCGCCUCGAAACGCUCGGCGGCGUGGCACCGGCUUUAAGCAUAGCAGAAUCUUUCGCUUUGGAAGUCGGGGCCCCGUCUGCCGGAAGACCUGCUCGCAAGGUUGACCUCGGAUCAGGCAGGGAUACCCGCUGAACUUAAGCAUAUCAAUAAGCGGAGGA
rnacentral:misc_RNA from 1 species